GAUGAACGCUGGCGGCGUGCCUAAUACAUGCAAGUCGAGCGAACGGACGAGAAGCUUGCUUCUCUGAUGUUAGCGGCGGACGGGUGAGUAACACGUGGAUAACCUACCUAUAAGACUGGGAUAACUUCGGGAAACCGUAGCUAAUACCGGAUAAUAUUUUGAACCGCAUGGUUCAAAAGUGAAAGACGGUCUUGCUGUCACUUAUAGAUGGAUCCGCGCUGCAUUAGCUAGUUGGUAAGGUAACGGCUUACCAAGGCAACGAUGCAUAGCCGACCUGAGAGGGUGAUCGGCCACACUGGAACUGAGACACGGUCCAGACUCCGACGGGAGGCAGCAGUAGGGAAUCUUCCGCAAUGGGCGAAAGCCUGACGGAGCAACGCCGCGUGAGUGAUGAAGGUCUUCGGAUCGUAAAACUCUGUUAUUAGGGAAGAACAUAUGUGUAAGUAACUGGGCACAUCUUGACGGUACCUAAUCAGAAAGCCACGGCUAACUACGUG
rnacentral:rRNA from 1 species